AAUUCCCAAUAGGUCAGUCAAGUUGGAAUGCUGACUGAUUUAAAACGUGCACAUCAUGUUGUGUAACGGCCUUUUGAUGAGUCUGCGUCCGAUUAGCUAGUAGGUGGGGUUAUGGCCCACCUAGGCGAGGAUCGGUAAGGGCAGUGAGAGCUGUAGCCCUAAGAUGGCCACUGAGACAACGGGCCAGGCCCUACGGGGUGCAGCAGGUACGAAACCUCACCAAUGCACGAAAGUGUGAGUGGGCUAACCUCAGUGCCAGGCGUCGUCCUGGCUUUUCCCAAGCGUACAUAACUUGGGGAAUAAGGAGAGGACAAGACUGGUGCCAGCCCCCGCGGUAAAACCAGCUCUUCGAAUGGUAAGCAUGAUUAUUGGGCCUAAAGCGUGCGUAGCCUGCUUGCAAGUCUCCAGAUAAAGCUCACGUCUUAAGCGUGAAAUCCCUGGGGAUACUACAGGCCUUGGACUGGGACAGGGCGAGGGUACGUGUCCGGUAGGGGUGAAUCCUAUAAUCGAACACGACCACCGGUGGCGAAGCGCCUCGCCUGGAACAGUCCGACGUGAGGCACGAAAGCCAGGGUAGCGAGCCGGAUUAGAUACCCGGGUAGUCCUGGCUGUAAACGAUGCGGAUUAGGUGUUGCGGUACACACGAAGUAUCGCAGUGCCGAAGCGAAGGCGUUAAAUCUGCCGCCUGGGAAGUACGCUCGCAAGGGUGAAACUUAAAGGAAUUGGCGGGGGAGCACCACAAGGGGUGGAGCGUGCGGUUUAAUUGGACUCAACGCCGGAAAGCUUACCUGGGCAGACAGCAUCAUGAUUGUCAGGUUGAAGGCCUUACAUGAAUAGCUGAGAGGAGGUGCAUGGCCGUCGCCAGCUCGUGCCGUGAUCCUCUAGCGUGGAGAUCUAUCAUCGUUGCCAGAGGACGGUAAAGGUGUCCUGUUAAGUCAGGCAACGAGCGAGACCGGAGCCCUUAGUUGCCAGCGAUAACUGCGGUUAGUCGGGUACACUAAGGGGACCGCCAGUGAUGAAACUGGAGGAAGGAUCCGUCCACGGCAGGUCAGUAUGCCCCGAUAGCUCAGGGCCACACGCGGGCUACAAUGGCACGGACAAUAGGUUCCGACAUCGAAAGAUGGAGGUAAUCCCGAAACCGUGUCCCAGUUGGGAUUGUGGGUUGGAACCCACCCACAUGAACUUGGAAUCCCUAGUAGUCGCAUGUCAUCAUCGUGCGGCGAAUACGUCCCUGCUCCUUGCACACACCGCCCGUCGCAGCAUGCGAGGCGGGUUGGCCUGAGAUGGCUGCUUUGUGUGGUCCUCGAGGGUUAAUUCGCUGAGCAGGCUGAAGUCGUAACAAGGUAGCCGUA
rnacentral:rRNA from 1 species